ACAAUGGAAAAUGUUAUACAAAACGCCAAUUUUAAGGCGCCGCCACGCUGAAGUUGGACAUCCCUUCAUACCUGAUAAAAGCAUUUAUAAAGAUGGUGUCAACUAAAUAAGUAAUAAGCAGUAAAAAAUUAAAAUUAUCGAGUUUGUAUACAGAAGUGACUAAACAAUUGGAAUAAGCGGUGGAUAGCAUUUCCCAGACACGCUGCCUUUUUACAACAAAAAAUUGGCAUAUAGUGAAUAACAAAUUUAGGGAAUAUAAUUUUCAUACCAAAGAGCGUAGACACCACCACGACACCACGCGGUUACAGCCGAGUUCACAACAGCGCGCCAAUCGUUCUUCCUUCCCGCUGUUUGGCGUCAAUUGGAGAUUCCAAGUGCAGCCGAUCUCUUGUUCCUCAGCUUCCUUCGCCGGGUUCUGCGUCAAGUACUUUCAGCGCUGGAGCGUUUUCAUCCAUUUGGAGGACAUGACCCAGCCAGCGUAGUCGCUGCCUCUUAAUUCGUUGAACUAUGUCAUAUGCAUUUAUACCCAUACAUAUGGGUAGCCGUAAAACUUCCGUUUGAACGCGAGCUAAAGUGAGAAGGCGAAAUAUUCCGCCUCGUAAUAAACCCUAACAAUGAACUGAAGAAAACAGCCUCGGAUAAGAUACCCCCAUUUUGAUGACGACCCCUGCAAACGUGUUAUUUAAUUUCUGAACAAUAAAA